CCUACGGGACGCAGCAGUGGGGAAUAUUGCACAAUGGGCGCAAGCCUGAUGCAGCCAUGCCGCGUGUAUGAAGAAGGCCUUCGGGUUGUAAAGUACUUUCAGCGGGGAGGAAGGCGAUAAGGUUAAUAACCUUGUCGAUUGACGUUACCCGCAGAAGAAGCACCGGCUAACUCCGUGCCAGCAGCCGCGGUAAUACGGAGGGUGCAAGCGUUAAUCGGAAUUACUGGGCGUAAAGCGCACGCAGGCGGUCUGUCAAGUCGGAUGUGAAAUCCCCGGGCUCAACCUGGGAACUGCAUUCGAAACUGGCAGGCUAGAGUCUUGUAGAGGGGUGUAGAAUUCCAGGUGUAGCGGUGAAAGGCGUAGAGAUCUGGAGGAAUACCGGUGGCGAAGGCGGCCCCCUGGACAAAGACUGACGCUCAGGUGCGAAAGCGUGGGGAGCAGAUAGGAUUAGAUACCCCCGUAGUC
rnacentral:rRNA from 1 species